rnacentral:siRNA from 1 species
CACAAUAUGAGUCCGAGUCUCACU